CUGGCGGGAUUGUGUGUAUAGGUGGUGUGCUACAACCAUUGUUCCGAAAGAGUUCCCUGCAAAACAAAUUUGGGGAAGAUAGGCAGUUGUGUUUCAGUUUGCUGUUGAAAAUAACAAAAAUCAUCACUACAUUU
rnacentral:snoRNA from 1 species